rnacentral:rRNA from 1 species
UACGUAGGGUGCGAGCGUUAAUCGGAAUUACUGGGCGUAAAGCGUGCGCAGGCGGUGAUGUAAGACAGGUGUGAAAUCCCCGGGCUUAACCUGGGAACUGCAUUUGUGACUGCAUUGCUGGAGUGCGGCAGAGGGGGAUGGAAUUCCGCGUGUAGCAGUGAAAUGCGUAGAUAUGCGGAGGAACACCGAUGGCGAAGGCAAUCCCCUGGGCCUGCACUGACGCUCAUGUGCGAAAGCGUGGGGAGCAAACAGG